UACGAGCGGCCCAAACGUUAUUCGGAAUUACUGGGCUUAAAGAGUUCGUAGGCGGCAUGAAAAGUAGGGUGUGAAAGCCCUCGGCUCAACCGAGGAAUUGCGCUCUAAACUGUCGUGCUAGAGGAAGCUAGAGGUGAGCGGAACUGAUGGUGGAGCGGUGAAAUGCGUUGAUAUCAUCAGGAACACCGGAGGCGAAGGCGGCUCACUGGGGCUUUUCUGACGCUGAGGAACGAAAGCCAGGGUAGCGAACGGG
rnacentral:rRNA from 1 species